rnacentral:rRNA from 1 species
AUUGAACGCUGGCGGCAGGCUUAACACAUGCAAGUCGAGCGGAGAUGAGGUGCUUGCACCUUAUCUUAGCGGCGGACAGGUGAGUAAUGCUUAGGAAUCUGCCUAUUAGUGGGGGACAACAUUCCGAAAGGAAUGCUAAUACCGCAUACGUCCUACGGGAGAAAGCAGGGGAUCUUCGGACCUUGCGCUAAUAGAUGAGCCUAAGUCGGAUUAGCUAGCUGGUGGGGUAAAGGCCUACCAAGGCGACGAUCUGUAGCGGGUCUGAGAGGAUGAUCCGCCACACUGGGACUGGGACACGGCCCAGACUCCGACGGGAGGCAGCAGUGGGGAAUAUUGGACAAUGGGGGGAACCCUGAUCCAGCCAUGCCGCGUGUGUGAAGAAGGCCUUAUGGUUGUAAAGCACUUUAAGCGAGGAGGAGGCUACUGAGACUAAUACUCUUGGAUAGUGGACGUUACUCGCAGAAUAAGCACCGGCUAACUCUGUGCCAGCCGCCGCCGUAAAAC